GUGGCUCACCUCUGUGCUCUCUUCAGCUGGUCUCUGCCUUUCUAGAUGCAUGGUGCACAAAACUGUACGUGAAACUUUCCUCGGAGACUUAUCAGAACCUUAUGGAGCAGAAUGAUGAUUUCAUUUGUAUUACUUCCUGGAUGAUGUUUGUCUUCUUCAAAAGAUGAAAACAUUUUUAAGCUUGUGAUCAACUGUUAAGCAAUUCCUCAUUCUGCAUGGCCUUCAGCAUUGGAUAAGAGUAGCUGUUGAAAUCAUAAUACCAAGUUAAGCUAAAGAGCUGAGGAAGAGGAUGACUGGUACUACACUGACUUCUCCAGGGACUCUAUCUCUGCUCUGGAAGAUCAGCAACCACAGCAUGCACCGGGCCUGAGCCUGUAAAGGACAAUGUGAUCCCAUGAGGGAAGUGAAUGUUGCAAGUUGUUUUGCCAAUCUUUGUCUCAAAGCGGUGUUGCCACAUUUCAUGUUUUAUUACUCAACUUACUAAAAUUAGAUUUCUUGAGAUCUAAAAAAAAA